GAUGAACGCUGGCGGCGUGCUUAACACAUGCAAGUCGAACGGAAAGGCUCCUGCUUGCAGGGGUACUCGAGUGGCGAACGGGUGAGUAACACGUGGGUGAUCUGCCCUGCACUUCGGGAUAAGCCUGGGAAACUGGGUCUAAUACCGGAUAGGACGAUGGUUUGGAUGCCAUUGUGGAAAGUUUUUUCGGUGUGGGAUGAGCUCGCGGCCUAUCAGCUUGUUGGUGGGGUAAUGGCCUACCAAGGCGUCGACGGGUAGCCGGCCUGAGAGGGUGUACGGCCACAUUGGGACUGAGAUACGGCCCAGACUCCUACGGGAGGCAGCAGUGGGGAAUAUUGCACAAUGGGCGCAAGCCUGAUGCAGCGACGCCGCGUGGGGGAUGACGGCCUUCGGGUUGUAAACUACUUUCGCUAGGGACGAAGCGAAAGUGACGGUACCUGGAGAAGAAGCACCGGCUAACUACGUG
rnacentral:rRNA from 1 species